rnacentral:rRNA from 1 species
CAUACGGGGGGAAGAAGUAGGGACUAUUGCACAAUGGGGGAAACCCUGAUGCAGCAAAGCCGCGUGAGCGAUGAAGGCCUUCGGGUCGUAAAGCUCUGUCCUAAGGACACACUAACGACGGUACCUUAGGAGGAAGCCCCGGCUAACUACGUGCCAGCAGCCGCGGUAAUACGUAGGGGGCUAGCGUUAUCCGGAAUUACUGGGCGUAAAGGGUGCGUAGGCGGCCCUUCAAGUCAGAGGUGAAAGGCUACGGCUCAACCGUAGUAAGCCUUUGAAACUGUAGGGCUUGAGUGCAGGAGAGGAGAGUGGAAUUCCCAGUGUAGCGGUGAAAUGCGUAGAUAUUGGGAGGAACACCAGUUGCGAAGGCGGCUCUCUGGACUGUAACUGACGCUGAGGCACGAAAGCGUGGGGAGCGAACAGGAUUAGAUACCCGGGUAGUC